rnacentral:rRNA from 1 species
CCUCUGACAUAAGCUACUGCAUAAAGAGGGGUCUGCGUACCAUUAGCUAGUAGGUGGGGUAAAGGCCUACCUAGGCUACGAUGGUUAGCGGGUCUGAGAGGAUGAUCCGCCACACUGGCACUGGAACACGGGCCAGACUCCUACGGGAGGCAGCAGUGAGGAAUAUUGCGCAAUGGGGGGCAACCCCUGACGCAGCGACGCCGCGUGAGUGAGGAAGGCCUUCGGGUCGUAAAGCUCUGUCAAAGGGAAAGAAGUGCAUGGAGGUUAAUACCCUUCAUGUUUGACGGUACCCUUAAAGGAAGCACCGGCUAACUCCGUG